AAGCCUUGGUUCUCCUUCAUUUAUACGAAAAAAUCUUUCGCCUUUUACUAAAGAUUUCCGUGGAGGAGAAAACGACCAUGGGUACAAGUGUAUUUUUUGUCGCACACCGGAUUUUCCUGGCGG